rnacentral:rRNA from 1 species
CACGGAGUUAGCCGGUGCUUAUUCCUCGGGUACCGUCGGCUAUAGUAGAAACCAUAGUUUUCUUCCCCGGUAAAAGAAGUUUACAACCCGGAGGGCCUUCAUCCUUCACGCGGCAUGGCUGGUUCAGACUUGCGUCCAUUGACCAAUAUUCCUCACUGCUGCCUCCCGUAGGAGUCGGGCCCGUGUCUCAGUGCCCGUGUGGCUGGUCGUGCUCUCACACCAGCUACCCAUCGUCGCCUUGGUAGGCCGUUACCCUACCAACUAGCUAAUGGGACGCACACUCAUCUUUAUCCACCGGAGUUUUAAUAGUUAAGAAAUGCUUCUCUGCUAUUUUAUGGGGGAUUAAUCCGAAUUUCUUCGGGCUAUACCCCAGAUAAAGGUAGAUUGUGUACGUGUUCCGCACCCGUUUGCCGGUCGCCAACAGGUAUUGCUACCCUUGCUGCCCCUCGACUUGCAUGUGUUAAGCCUGCCGCUAGCGUUCAUCCUGAGCCAGGAUCAAACUCU